rnacentral:rRNA from 1 species
UGGGGAAUCUUGCACAAUGGGCGAAAGCCUGAUGCAGCGACGCCGCGUGGGGGAUGAAGCAUCUCGGUGUGUAAACCCCUUUCGAUUCGGACGAAUGCCCGCAAGGGAGUGACGGUACGGAUAUAAGAAGCCCCGGCUAACUACGUGCCAGCAGCCGCGGUAAGACGUAGGGGGCCAGCGUUGUUCGGAAUUACUGGGUGUAAAGGGUUCGUAGGCGGUGCGGCAAGUUGGGAGUGAAAUCUCUGGGCUUAACCCAGAGGCUGCUUCCAAAACUGCUGUGCUCGAGUGUGGGAGAGGCGCGUGGAAUUGCAGGCGUAGCGGUGAAAUGCGUAGAUAUCUGCAGGAACACCCGUGGCGAAAGCGGCGCGCUGGACCACUACUGACGCUGAGGAACGAAAGCUAGGGGAGCAAACAGG